rnacentral:rRNA from 1 species
GUGAGGAAUAUUGGUCAAUGGGCGAGAGCCUGAACCAGCCAAGUCGCGUGAAGGAUGAAGGUUUUAUGAAUUGUAAACUUCUUUUGCAGGGGAAUAAAGUACGGUACGUGUACCGUUUUGUAUGUACUCUGCGAAUAAGGAUCGGCUAACUCCGUGCCAGCAGCCGCGGUAAUACGGAGGAUCCAAGCGUUAUCCGGAUUUAUUGGGUUUAAAGGGUGCGCAGGCGGGUUGAUAAGUCAGCGGUGAAAGUUUGCAGCUUAACUGUAAAAUUGCCGUUGAAACUGUCGAUCUUGAGUGCAAAUGAGGUAAGCGGAAUGUGUUGUGUAGCGGUGAAAUGCUUAGAUAUAACACAGAACACCGAUUGCGAAGGCAGCUUACUGGGAUGCAACUGACGCUCAUGCACGAAAGCGUGGGGAGCAAACAGGAUUAGAAACCCCAGUAGUCC